rnacentral:rRNA from 1 species
AUUGAACGCUGGCGGCAGGCUUAACACAUGCAAGUCGAGCGGAAACGAGAAUAGCUUGCUAUUCGGCGUCGAGCGGCGGACGGGUGAGUAAUGCUUGGGAAUAUGCCUUAAGGUGGGGGACAACAGUUGGAAACGACUGCUAAUACCGCAUAAUGUCUUCGGACCAAAGGAGGGGAUUCUUCGGAACCUUUCGCCUAAAGAGUAGCCCAAGUGAGAUUAGCUAGUUGGUAAGGUAAAGGCUUACCAAGGCGACGAUCUCUAGCUGGUUUGAGAGGAUGAUCAGCCACACUGGGACUGAGACACGGCCCAG